GUAUCAGUCAGGCGGGUUAGAAUGUCUGCUUUGUGGGCAGAAGGUCCCAGGUUCAACUCCUGGUGUCUCCA
rnacentral:tRNA from 1 species